GCCUUUGUGGCGCAAUUGGAUAGCGCGUCGGACUUCUAAUCCGAAGGUUGCGGGUUCGAGUCCCGCCGGAGGUA
rfam:Babesia sp. Xinjiang scaffold8, whole genome shotgun sequence.